UACGUAGGGUGCGAGCGUUGUCCGGAAUUAUUGGGCGUAAAGAGCUUGUAGGCGGUUUGUCGCGUCUGCUGUGAAAAUCCGGGGCUCAACCCCGGACUUGCAGUGGGUACGGGCAGACUAGAGUGUGGUAGGGGAGACUGGAAUUCCUGGUGUAGCGGUGAAAUGCGUAGAUAUCGUUUGGAACGCCAAUGGUGAAAACAGACAGCUGGGAGUGUGCUGACGCUGAGACACGAAAGCCAGGGGGAGCGAAACGGGG
rnacentral:rRNA from 1 species